rnacentral:rRNA from 1 species
CACCAGCGCCACGAGUGUCUAUCACAAUUAUUGGGCCUAAAGCGUCCGUAGUCGGACAAGUGCAUCUUCUGUGAAAUCGCAGCGCCUAACGUUGCGGCAUGCGGGAGACACGACUUGUCUUGAGACCGGGAGGCGUGAAGGGUAUUCCGGGGGGACCGGUAAAAUGCGCAGAUAUCAGGAGGAACACCGGUGGCGAAGGCGGGUCUCUGGGCCGAUACUGACGCUGAGGAGCGAAAGCGUGGGGAGCGAACAGG